UGUGUCGUUUCUCGAAGAUGUUGCAUGC
rnacentral:sRNA from 1 species